GACCAGAGAGCCGCUUUCGCCACCGGUGUUCCUCCAUAUAUCUACGCAUUUCACCGCUACACAUGGAAUUCCACUCUCCCCUUCUGCACUCAAGUUAAACAGUUUCCAAAGCCUACAAUGGUUGAGCCACUGCCUUUAACUUCAGACUUAUCUAACCGCCUGCGCUCGCUUUACGCCCAAUAAAUCCGGACAACGCUCGGGACCUACGUAUUACCGCGGCUGCUGGCACGUAGUUAGCCGUCCCUUUCUGGUUAAGUACCGUCACAGUAUGAACUUUCCAUUCUCACACUCGUUCUUCCUUAACAACAGAGCUUUACGAUCCGAAAACCUUCUUCACUCACGCGGCGUUGCUCGGUCAGGGUUCCCCCCAUUGCCGAAGAUUCCCUACUGCUGCCUCCCGUAGGAGUCUGGGCCGUGUCUCAGUCCCAGUGUGGCCGAUCACCCUCUCAGGUCGGCUAUGUAUCGUCGCCUAGGUGAGCCGUUACCUCACCUACUAGCUAAUACAACGCAGGUCCAUCUGGUAGUGAUGCAUUUGCACCUUUUAAACAUCUACCAUGCAGUAAAUGUUCUUAUGCGGUAUUAGCUAUCGUUUCCAAUAGUUAUCCCCCGCUACCAGGCAGGUUACCUACGCGUUACUCACCCGUUCGCAACUCACAGAAUACGGUGUAGUAAACUACGGUGCAUCCUGUGCGUUCUACUUGCAUGUAUUAGGCACGCCGCCAGCGUUCGUCCUGAGCCAGGAUCAAACCCUA
rnacentral:rRNA from 1 species